GACCUGAUAGCACAAUGCCGUGCAUCCGCUAUCAUUGCAGCGGCGAUCGACGCAUGUGAAAGCGGAGGAUCCCGGUUCGACUCCGGGUCGGGUCA